GUUCGAAAUUAAAAAAAGGGAACUGGGUUUUUGUGUUCAUGAAUCUCCCCUGGCACAUCUGGCUAACCUGACUUAGGAUUUUUCAUGGUUUUUCACAGUACCACCAGGCAAAUGUUGAUUGGACUUAGUAUCCCUAAUCAGGUGACAAGCACCAAGACUUUUGAAUACAUUAUUUACUAACCAUCAACCUUUUGAUACUAUAUAGUUUCCGCUACGAAGUGUGUUGUGAAUUCAUGAAAGGAAAUGUGGUGCAGGAGCAGUUUUGAAUGUUAUUAAUAAUCGGACACAACUUUCAGCGCCAGAAGAGAUACUGUCCAACAUCAAGAUUGAGCCCGAGGACAGCGAACUGGAGCUACAGAUAGCCCUCAAGAAAGCAUGGAGACUGGAGCUGCAGGAGGCUGUUACAGAAUCAAAGAACAAUGUAGAAAAGGUGGCAGAGUCAGUACUGGAGAGAAACUCAGAAGGAAACAUGGAAGGUGGUUCCAGUGUGCUGAAUGCUACAGCAGAAUUCUGCUGUACGUUGGGUGACAUCCCCAUUUAUGGUCUGGCUGACAACUGAUGAGGAUGCUCAGGAACUGCUUGACUCUGACAAGGAAAUGAUUUAAGAGAAGAAACGUCAGAAAGAAGAAGACAAACGUGAAGCUUGGAAUGAAGUUGAGAUUGAUACCUGUCUCAUGAAUUUCAUGGAAAGGGACCUGUCAGAAAUAAAGUGGAGAAACGAAUGAAGGAAACUGAACUGGAGGGAAGCAACCAUCUCAAAAACAAAACUGAAAUUCUUCAUGAAAUAUGCUGGCACCAACUCUGAACUUUGGCGUGGACUUAUGUUUUUAUUGUUCCUUACUGUCUUUAUUGUUCCUUACUGUCUGGAAUAUCAUCUUUCUUUUUAAAUAAGACACAACUUGCAGCUGCUGACAGUGCGUAAGUGUACUGGGAGGAAGGCCACAGAGUUUAUGUCACAUUCACAUGAGUACCGUGGCUCUCCUGCUGGUACCUGUAAGCUGAAAAGUACAAUUUCUAGUGAUUAGUUACUUGCUUACAAGACUUGAGCCAGAUUAACAGCCUCUAAGCUAAAUCAGACAUUAAUCAGUAAUUACAUUUGGCCGUUCUUGAUUGCAAUAGCAAUAUUGUAUCCUUCCAAGGGAAGAAAGAAACCCUUGUUCAGUUGUAGGCCAGUGUGAAAAGCUGUAAAAUUGUACAAGCAACAGAAUCAGAAGAUGCACAGUCUACUGCAAAUCAUUGUAAAGCACCACUGAUAUAUCACUGAAACAUUUGUAAUGGGUUAUAAAAGUAACUUGGUUCAUCCUGGUCUGUCACACUAGAAAUGUAUAUAAGGUUUUUAACCACUGUCCAGUAUGAUUAUAUGUUUCAGUCAAAAUGACCCUCUUCAGAAAAAUAUUAUCAACACAUAUGGAAACUGCUGUUACAUGUCAUACAUACAUAUAUAUGUUAUAUCUUUGUACUAAUAUUAAGAUGUACAUUGAUAUCUUAAAACAUCUAAAAAUUAUUACAAUUAGUCUGUUUACAAAAUAAUGUUCAGUAUUUGUUUUAAACUAGAACCAGUUUGGUUUCUUGUCCUUACACUUUUGUAAUAAUUUUAGAUGUUUUAAAAAAUCAAUGUACACCUUAAUAUUCGUUAAAUGAUAUAACAUAUAUAUCUAUGACAUGUAACAGUAGUUUCCAUAAGUGUUGAUAAUAUCCUUCUGAAGAUGGCCGUUUUAACUGAAACAUAUAAAGGAUGAAAAAUUAGAAACAGCUUCUAUAAAUCACACUGGACGGUGGUUACAAAUCUUAUAUGUGGUUAUAAAAGGCCUGUCUUUAAUCCACAUGCAGAUGAUCAAGAGUCUUCUGUAGGUAUACAAAAUCUCGAAAGCCACAUAUACUUGGCCAAUAAUAAUGUCAGGUCAUGAAACUGUGUAAGACUGAUCUUAAGGCAUCUUCUUGGGGGUGGUGAUAAUGAUUUGAACCCAAAAUGAAUAUAUAAGUCAGUGCUGAACAUUAUCUGAAGUCUGAAUUGUAAUCCUGAUGUGUUACUAGUCUUCACUUAAGUAGGUACACAGACAGACUCCAGGUGUUCCCAAACUUACAUUUUCCUUGAUAUCAGUAAUGUAUAACUGGAAGUUGACAUCCUCAGUCACAUAUAUUCCAGCCACCUGAUUAUUUAAGACAGUUUCAGUAUGUUUUAGUCUCUGUUAAUAGAAAUUUACUUGAAAUCACAUUAUUACAAAAGUAGUUAACAUUUGUGUAUUUCUUCAUGAGAUAGGGAUUAUAAUUUAAACAUGUACACCUACUCCAUUAGGUGCAUGCCGAUUAUGUAGUUCAGUUAGUGUGGUUACUUGUAAGGUUGGAAUUGUGUGUGGAGUUGAUUUCAGUUUGUAACAUUCUCACUCAGAGCAGUCUGCUUAUGGUAAUUGAUGGUCAUUACUAUCUGUCCUUACCAUAGGUAAUUAAUUUUUCAGUAAAUGGUUUUCAAACAAAAGGUAUGACACACCUAUCAAAAGAAACUGAAGAUUUUUUUCUUUAUUGUUCAGUAUCCUUUUGAGAAGGGUACAAUAAAAUGGUUUUACUUGGUGUAGUUUUUAAUGUAUAUCAUCUUUAGGAAAAAUGAUAUGAAAAUGCUUAAAUUUCAUGAUAUGUUUGUAUGCACUCAGAGUUUCACUGUAAACGUGAGGUGACCACGUGCAGUUGGAGCCCAGGCUGGGCCACUGAAGCGUGAGGCCGAUAGCUUUAAAUGGUUGCAAUGGUAGACUUGCCAUUUCUAAUUAAUUUGUACAGAUUUCCUAACAAACUCACUACUGUGAUGAAGACUUGUUUUGAGAAUUUAUUUCAUUAUGUAAUGUAAUUCAUCUGUGCUGAUCACAGUUCAGUUUAAUCAGUACAGCACAAUUACUGUAUGGUUGUAGUGUGUCAAUAUUUCUUGUUCAUGAAUGGAAGUACAGUCAUCUACAAGCACCAGUGUUACAUGAGAUAUUCAUGGCAGUGAUCAUGAGGAAGUUGGAAGUGACGCUGUAUAGGUGGGUAGGAGUCCACAAAGAUUUUGGAGGAACGUACUGUCACAUUCGUAAAGGUAGACUUCUACUACGUACAUUCUGUCACAUCCGCAAUAUUAUUGAGGACAAGUCUUCUGAAAUGUAAUGCUCUGUAAUCCAUCUUCAGGAUGGAAAAUUGAAGCUGAAGGCAUUGUGUUCCUCUGAAAUGUCAUUGAACUUCUACCAACAUACACAGUAUCAUAUCCCGUAUCAUCAGCCAAAUGAAACUGCUGUUUGUGGAUGAUCUGAUUUAAUAUUGUGAAUUGAAACAUCUGUACCUACAUAAUCUGAAUGGCUGAUAUCUGGAGUCAUCCUAAAGAUGGAGGCACACAUUCCACCUAAACGUUAGUAUCCACCUAUCAGACUGUGUUUCACCAGAACCCUGGUAUCCGCCUUCUGACUACAACACAGUGUUAUAGCACACAGCAUCCCCACCAAGGAACUUGAUGAUUAUACAGCUUUCCAGUUUUGUCAGGAAAGUUACAUCAAGGACUUGUAGCUCAGAUGGGGGGAACACAAAUACAUUUCAUUUCAUGCAUCCUGUUGUGUUAUUAUAUACCAUUCUUUAUUGGAGUCCGUCGUGACACAACAACAUAACGGUGAAAGUUAAAGUUACCUAGCUACAUGUUUCAACUUUCUAAAGCACAUGAUUACUAAUUGUGUCUGAAUAUAGUAAUCGUGUGUUUUGCCUGACGAUGGCUUUAAAAUUGCGAAACAUGUAGCUGGGUAAUUUUAACCUUGACCAUUAUGUUGUUGUGUUACGAUGGACUCCAAUAAAGAAUUGAACACAAAUACGUGCAAUAUUUUUGUUGGAACAUGCUGGAAAGCAUCCACUUGGCAAAGCAAAAGUGGUGGAAGGAAGAUAUCAGACCAGAUCUUGACAAAACUGGGUAUAUGACUGUGGAACAUGAUGUGUUCACUAGUGGGCUUUGGUAUUAGCAACAUUCAUCCUGGAAGGGUAUGCUGAAAAGUAAUGCCUUCAUAAGACAGUGGUGAAAAUGUAGUUCUGUCCUGCCACACUUACAGAAGUAGAGGUAUGCCUUGGUAUAUGCAAGUUUGAAACAUGUUGUUUCAUUUUAAUGCUGUCAAUUAUAAGUAAUUUAGACCUGCUUUAGUAUGAACUGCUUGCUGGCCCAUCAAGAGAGGUCAGAAGAAGGGUGAAUUAGGAUGCUGUGCAUGAAUGAAAUUGCUGUUAUGGAAAAGAAAUCGGGAGCCAUUACUUUCAGCAUGCCUCUGUCACCAGGAGAAGACAUACACUUCCAAAUGAAAUAUCCCACAUUGUGAAAUUGGAAAUUUCAUAAUGUUAAUUGAAAUCCAUAUUUUAAUAUUUGUUGCUUAACCUCCAGUGGUGUCCUGCGUACAGAGCACACAUGCCAUUGUAUCACAUCACUACGUGGAACACAGAAUGCCUAUGGCAGCCAUAACUUCUGUCUCUAACAGUGAUAUUAUAUUAAAAGAGCCAGUUUUUUUAUAGCAGUUCAGAAUAAGAAAAUGCUAUAAGCUGUCUAUUCAUGUAUGGGUAGUCACAUUUUGAAAUUUCUGUGGCAUGUAACAAAUACUGUGUACAUCUGAAAUAAAAUUACCCUACUUUACCUUUUA